rnacentral:pre_miRNA from 1 species
CAAUUACUCCCUCCGUCCCAAAAUUCUUGUCUUAGAUUUGUCUAGAUACGAAUGUAUCUAAUACUAAAAUGUGACUUGAUACAUCUGUAUUUAGACAAAUCUAAGACAAGAAUUUUGGGACGAAGGAAGUACAUU